AUUUAAGUAGUUUAAUUUAAAAUAUUAAUUUGUGGAAUUAAAGAUAUAUAAAAUAUUUAUCUUAAAUU
rnacentral:tRNA from 1 species